CUACGGGCGGCAGCAGUGGGGAAUAUUGCACAAUGGAGGAAACUCUGAUGCAGCAACGCCGCGUAGAGGAUGACACAUUUCGGUGCGUAAACUCCUUUUAUAUGAGAAGAUAAUGACGGUAUCAUAUGAAUAAGCACCGGCUAACUCCGUGCCAGCAGCCGCGGUAAUACGGGGGGUGCAAGCGUUACUCGGAAUCACUGGGCGUAAAGAGCAUGUAGGCGGAUAGAAAAGUUGGAAGUGAAAUCCUGUGGCUUAACCAUAGAACAGCUUCCAAAACUCUCUAUCUAGAAUAUGGGAGAGGUAGAUGGAAUUUCUGGUGUAGGGGUAAAAUCCGUAGAGAUCAGAAGGAAUACCGAUUGCGAAGGCGGUCUACUGGAACAUUAUUGACGCUGAGAUGCGAAAGCGUGGGGAGCAAACAGGAUUAGAUACCCCGGUAGUC
rnacentral:rRNA from 1 species